GGGAUGUAGCUGAGUGGUAAAACACUUGCCUUGUGCACAAGGCCCUGAGUUUAAUCCCCAGCAACACCA
rnacentral:tRNA from 1 species